CACAUCACAUCCGUUGUUGGCCCACGCCGUGCCCGCGGACUCUCCCAAUUAAAGACGCCAGACCUCAGUCUACCCAAGCAGGAGGCGGCCCGGGCCAGUCCGAGCGGGACGCCAGACUCCUCAGACCUGACUGGGUCAGUCCACCCGAGAUUCACGGAGAGUCGACAAUACAGCUCCCGGAGGCUAAAUACCCGUCACCCGAAGCGUCGGGCGUCUACAGGAGGGAGCACGAGGCUACGACAGGAGGAGCACGAGGCUACGACAGGAGGAGCACGAGGCUACGACAGGAGGAGCACGAGGCUACGACAGGAGGAGCACGAGGCUACGACAGGAGGAGCACGAGGCUACGACAGGAGGAGCACGAGGCUACGACAGGAGGAGCACGAGGCUAAAACAUGUUCAGAUACGUCAGCAGCAUCUUGCCCUGGCGAGGACGCAGAAAGACAUCGAACUUCCGUAUCAGCAUCAGCAACUCCGGCAGAUGGAAGUCUAUGCACGCCCGAGGGAUGCACGGAGUGAUAGAAGAGAACCUGGAGGAAGGGGAGGAGCUGGAUGAGGUGGAGGUGAAGCCUGCCAGGGGUUCUAACGGAGGGCACGCCACUGUAGCUGGUAGAUGCUCCAAUGGGAGCAUGAGUAUGACAGCAAUAGACGUCUGCGACUCGGCACCAGAGGAUACUUGCAAGGCGGUCCAUCCACUGUUCUCGGCGAUUCAGCGUCGUGAGGUGGAGGAGGUGGAGCACCUGCUGGUGGAGACACCGCAGGCGACGCUGGAGGAGUGUGGGGGCCUGACGCCCCUCCAUGCUGCCACCCACGUCCAGGAUGUGGCUAUUCUCAAACUGCUCCUCGAUAAUAGCGCUCAGGUGGAGGCGGUGGACGGUCAUGGGAACACAGCGCUCCACGUUGCUGUCAGUGAGGGCUGGCACCUGGGCGUGGCCGAGCUCCUCAAGGCUGGGGCCUCGCCGGAUGCUAAGCUCAUGCCCCCAUCUACUGCAGUGGCUACCAAGGUAGGGGGUACAAAUAAAAUACAAGCUGAAGGGGAUACACCUCUCCAGGCUGCAGUGAGGCGUGGAGAUGUCACCACUACUAAGAUGUUGAUGCAGUAUAGACCAGACAUGAGCGUGGUGGACAAGAAUGGGGACUCUCUUCUGCAUCUGGCUGCACAUGCUCACAGCACUGAGCUUCUGAGUAUUUUAUUGCAGCACAAGGUUUCCAGCGAGAUGUUGCACUCUCGUAGCUAUAAUGGUGGCGGCGUCAUGCAUGCGGCCAUUGUGAAGGCAUGUGAUAAGGUUGUUGAAGAUACGCUCCUGGAAAUUCUUCAGAUGCUGUUUAACACUGGAGUAGACGUCAACUUGAGAAAUAAUCAGGGAGAAUCUCCUCUCUUUUUAGCUGCAUGCUUUCGGUAUUCCAAGGCCGUGGAAAGAUUGUUGUCUAUGGGAGCUGAUCCGCUGGCGGUGACGCAGAGGGGAGAGUCGGUGGUGCACGGAGCCUGCUACAAGGGUUGCUCCAGCAGCCUUACACACCUACUCAACACAGGCCGCAUCGAUAAACUCGUCACCAUGCCAAACGUCGAGGGAAUUGAACCCUUUCUCUAUGCCAUUCGCAGCAGUUCAAUCGACUGCUGUGAAAUUUUACUGAACAACGGUGACCACCUCACACGGGAAGACAGUGAAGGUGUUUCUCGCUGUGCGCUGCUCCUCACCUAUCUCCCGUCAGCUCCAGAUCUUCUCAAACGACUGUUUGAUGCUCGCAUUCAUUUGUCAGACGAGCCCCAACAUGACCCCAAUUUCCGCGUCACCUUCGACUACUCGAGCAUACUGUGUCAGGAGAAGGGUGAGAUACAAAGUUCCCUUAUGAAUGAUCUAAACAGUUCAGAAGCAGAAGCUCUCCUUAAACAUCCUCUCAUAGAGUCUUUUCUUGGUAUUAAAUGGAGCAAAAUUAAGUUAUUCUUUUACAGUAAAAUAAUCUGCUUCUUCAUUUUUCUGUUGCUGCACACAACGUACAUCGUCUCUACGUACAAGAAGACAUCGAAGAUGUCCAGGGCUCUUAUUAGCCUCUUGGUAUUUCGCAUUUUACACAUGUUUAUGUACUUUGUCAUCCUGUGGCCUGAGCUUAUCACUAUUAUUGGUAACCCCCAGAAGUACCUCAAGCACUGGGAAACAGUAACCAAAUUUAUUUCAUUAGUAUCUUCUGCUUAUGUUGUGUUCGGUCAUGAACUAUUGAUAAAAGCAGUCCCCGGAUUGGAGACCAAUAUAAUGAACCAGACAAACUCAACACCAGGUACACACUUGUCAGUGGAGAGACAAAUGGCGGCGGUAUCUGUCUUCUUCGGGUGGGUAGAGCUGAUGAUGUUGUGUGGACGGCUCCCUAUCCUUGGAGCCCAUGUUCUUAUGUUCACACGAAUUGCUAAGUCUGCCCUUAAAUUUAUAGCAUCAUUUAUUAGCCUGCUGAUUGGGUUCGCGUUAAGUUUUAUGGUAUUGUUUUACGAGAAGGAAGAAUUCGGCAGUUUCGGAAGAAGCCUGGCCAAGACGCUGAUGAUGAUGGUGGGAGAGUUGGAUUACACGGGGAUGGUGGACUCUAACACUGCCUACAUCAGCUACAUUGUUCUAAUGGUGUUCCUCUUCCUCGUAUGCGUCCUCAUGGCCAACCUUCUCAUCGGCCUUGCUGUCGAUGACAUAUCUAACCUGGAGCGACUUGGUGAAAUUGAAAGAUUGUCAAAGCAAGCAUCGUACCUAGUCACAUUUGAGAAGCUCACCGGUGUUGUACAAAGAUUUAGAUUAUUUCCACGACUGGCAACAUUUUUAAGUAACAUAUCCAAGACUAACCACAAAGAGAAUGUUUAUGUGAACAGGAAGCGAUCCAGCAGGUGGCAAUGCCCUCGGUAUCAAACCCCCGCCAGUACAGUCCAGGCCGCCAUCUUGACUGCCAGAGCCAACCAGACCUCUCGUGAGACUAGCACCGAGCCGUGUGUGGCCGAGUAUAUAGCACACACAAAGAAAUUUGAGGCAAAGUUAGAAAAGAUAGAAAAUAUGUUGAAGGAAGCUAUUCGUGACACUUGCAAACUGUAAGUCAAAAAAUAAUAUUAAAGCUUUUGAAACUUGUAGCCAGCACACACCGAGGAAGACCUCAAGAAACCUGCAGGCAGCACACACCGAGGAAGACCUCAAGAAACCUGCAGGCAGCACACACCGAGGAAGACCUCAAGAAACCUGCAGGCAGCACACACCGAGGAAGACCUCAACAAA
rnacentral:misc_RNA from 1 species